AUUCGGUUGCUCGACAGAUUCGAACGAAUUUUUUCACUGCUAACAUUUUUUAUGCUAUCCUGAUUUUGGCUCAUUUGAUUAUACAGCUUUGGUUGACUAGUUGUCACUUAUGAGUUAUGUUUUAACUUAAAAGUUUGACUUCUUGUGGCAAUGCUUAGGGAAGAUGGGGUAAGACGGACCAGCUAAGGAUUGAAGUCAAAGAUCUUGCUACACUGCUCUGGAACCUCAUAUUGAUUCCUCUCCCUUUUAGCAUAUGCAAAGGCUGGAUUUUAAAUUGAAGAAACCUAAAUAUCGGUUGCUCUUAAAGGAGGAAAAGUCAGAAUCUCCGACAAGAAAAAAAAGGCGAGGCGGCUCUGGAAGUUGCGGGCGGCGGCCGCCAGGGCCGCCACCACUCUGGUCUCCCGGACCUCCAAGUCCGGAUGGAUACUGCCGAUCUAAUUUGAUGUUGAUUGCUGCGAUUUGAAGCACGGAGGAAGAUAGAAGGCCCGCCGGUGUUGUUGGGCUCCACGCCGGAAGGACCGCUGGCGAAGUAGCAGAGUUAUGUUCAACAAGCUGCCUGGGAGCCUGUGCUAUCGGAAUAAGGAGCUUGCUGUGAGAUUGACGAGUGGCCGAGAACAAUACAGCUUCUGUUAAACAUAAAAGAGAAAAGACCCACAAAAGG